UUUUUUUUUUUUUUGAGAGAUAGGUAGCACGCUACCCGCUUCGUUUAUUUAAUUAAGAAAUAAAUUUAGCUGGAAAUAUAAAUCAACUAGGAUUCGAACUAGGGAUCUCGAGUACCAAUUACCAAGCCUUUUGCAACUUGCUCUAGAGACGGUCGGUCAAUUUCAGUUAUUCUAUCUAAUAUAUUAAAAGUAGUAUAGUUAAUUGCAAGAGGCGUAUCACCUGAUAUAUACUCCCAUGAUCAUUAUACAGAAGCGCUCGUAUAUAUUAAAUAGAUUAAGAAUUUCAAAUCAAGACUCUUUGGAACUGAGAUGGCUUAGUAUCUGCUCUGACAUUCUUUUACUCAAAAGAUCAAUCUGAUCAGAAACUACUCAAAAUUAGUCUUAACAA
rnacentral:lncRNA from 1 species